rnacentral:rRNA from 1 species
GACGAACGCUGGCGGCGUGCUUAACACAUGCAAGUCGAGCGAUGAAGCACCUUCGGGUGUGAAUUAGCGGCGAACGGGUGAGGAACACGUGAAGAAUCUGCCUUCAACUCUGGGAUAGCUCCGGGAAACCGGGGCUAAUACCGGAUAUGAGCCUUGAUCGCAUGAUCGGGGCUGGAAAGUUUUUCGGUUGAAGAUAACUUCGCGGCCUAUCAGCUUGUUGGUGAGGUAGUGGCUCACCAAGGCGACGACGGGUAGCCGGCCUGAGAGGGCGCCCGGCCACACUGGGACUGAGACACGGCCCAGACUCCUACGGGAGGCAGCAGUGGGGAAUAUUGGGCAAUGGAGGAAACUCUGACCCAGCGACGCCGCGUGAGGGAUGAAGGCCUUCGGGUUGUAAACCUCUUUCAGUAGGGAAGAAGCGAAAGUGACGGUACCUACAGAAGAAGCACCGGCUAACUAUGUGCCAGCCGCCGCCGUAA